rnacentral:ncRNA from 1 species
UUAUCGGAGAGUUUGAUCCUGGCUCAGGACGAACGCUGGCGGCGUGCCUAACACAUGCAAGUCGAACGAUGAAGCCCAGCUUGCUGGGUGGAUUAGUGGCGAACGGGUGAGUAACACGUGAGUAACCUGCCCUUCACUCUGGGAUAA